rnacentral:rRNA from 1 species
AUUGAACGCUGGCGGAAUGCCUUACACAUGCAAGUCGAACGGCAGCACGGACUCCGGUCUGGUGGCGAGUGGCGAACGGGUGAGUAAUGUAUCGGAACGUGCCCAGUCGUGGGGGAUAACGUAGUGAAAAUUACGCUAAUACCGCAUACGAUCUAUGGAUGAAAGCGGGGGAUCGCAAGACCUCGCGCGAUUGGAGCGGCCGAUAUCAGAUUAGGUAGUUGGUGGGGUAAAGGCCCACCAAGCCAACGAUCUGUAGCUGGUCUGAGAGGACGACCAGCCACACUGGAACUGAGACACGGUCCAGACUCCUACGGGAGGCAGCAGUGGGGAAUUUUGGACAAUGGGCGAAAGCCUGAUCCAGCCAUUCCGCGUGCAGGAUGAAGGCCCUCGGGUUGUAACUGCUUUUGUACAGAACGAAAAGGUUUCUACUAAUACUAGGAGCUCAUGACGGUACUGUAAGAAUAAGCACCGGCUAACUACGUGCCAGCCGCCGCCGCGG